rnacentral:rRNA from 1 species
UACGUAGGGUGCAAGCGUUGUCCGGAAUUAUUGGGCGUAAAGAGCUCGUAGGCGGUCUGUCGCGUCGUCUGUGAAAUCCCGGGGCUCAACCCCGGGCCUGCAGUCGAUACGGGCAGACUAGAGUGCGGUAGGGGAGACUGGAAUUCCUGGUGUAGCGGUGAAAUGCGCAGAUAUCAGGAGGAACACCGGUGGCGAAGGCGGGUCUCUGGGCCGUAACUGACGCUGAGGAGCGAAAGCGUGGGGAGCGAACAGG